rnacentral:rRNA from 1 species
GACGAACGCUGGCGGCGUGCUUAACACAUGCAAGUCGAACGAUGAACCCGGAGCUUGCCUCGGCGGAUUAGUGGCGAACGGGGGAGUAACACGUGAGUAACAUGCCCCUGACUCUGGGAUAACUGCUAGAAAUGGUAGCUAAUACAGCAUACGACCCUCGACGGCAUCGCCAGGGGGUGGAAAGAAGUUCGGUCAAGGAUGGACUCGCGGCCGAUCAGGGAAGUGGUGGGGGACGGCUACCCAAGGCGACGACGGGUAGCCGGCCUGCGAGGGUGACCGGCCACACUGGGACUGAGACACGGCCCAGACUCCUACGGGAGGCAGCAGUGGGGAAUAUUGCACAAUGGGCGCAAGCCUGAUGCAGCAACGCCGCGUGGGGGAUGACGGCCUUCGGGUUGUAAACCUCUUUUAGCAGGGAAGAAGCGAAAGUGACGGUACCUGCAGAAAAAGCACCGGCUAACUACGUGCCAGCCGCCGCAGUAA